AGCAGCCGCGGUAAUUCCAGCUCCAAUAGCGUAUAUUAAAGUUGUUGCAGUUAAAAAGCUCGUAGUUGAAUUUCGGGAUCAAAUUGUUGGUCGUGCCUCGGUACGCACUGGUAUUAUUGGUUCCUACCUUCUGAAGAACCGCGAUGUCAUUAAUUUGGUGUCGUGGGGAAUCAGGACUGUUACUUUGAAAAAAUUAGAGUGUUUAAAGCAGGCUUACGCUUGAAUACAUUAGCAUGGAAUAAUGAAAUAGGACGUUUGAUUCUAUUUUGUUGGUUUCUAGGAUUGACGUAAUGAUUAAUAGGGAUAGUUGGGGGCAUUAGUAUUCAAUUGUCAGAGGUGAAAUUCUUGGAUUUAUUGAAGACUAACUACUGCGAAAGCAUUUGCCAAGGAUGUUUUCAUUAAUCAAGAACGAAAGUUAGGGGAUCGAAGACGAUCAGAUACCGUCGUAGUCUUAACCAUAAACUAUGCCGACUAGGGAUCGGAUGAUGUUAAUUUUUUAAUGUACUCAUUCGGCGCCUUA
rnacentral:rRNA from 1 species